CAGCAGCAACGCCGGGGGGCUCGAGCUGGCCCUUUCGGGGGCACCGACGUGCUCGCCCCUCGGCCUUCCAAUCCCACGCACCAGUGCACUUGACGGCGAAGGGGGCGGUGAAAAGCUUCCCCGCCGUCUUCUUCACCCACGCCGGUUUGAAAACGCAUGUGAACGCAGCGAGCCCCUCCGGGGGACUCGUGAUUUUCGAAA
rnacentral:misc_RNA from 1 species